rnacentral:misc_RNA from 1 species
GAAAAUGGAAAUAUAGGAGGUUUGCGAUGGUUAAGCCUAGUAAGCCUUGAGCCUAAGGUUAAUAACAAUGUUAUCAAGGGUAAAUGACAAUAGUUUGGAUACCCCUCUUCCUAUUUUCAAAAUUCUUGGGACAAACCCAACAAAUAUAAGCCUUGAAUAAAAAUAUUAGAUGCUUCACAUGAAGUCAAAUUGCUCUUUAAAGGAGUUUAACCGCAUUAAGGACCAAAUGCCUUAUUCUCUCACAUUCAAAUACCAUCAAGUUUAUUUAUUUUCGAAGACACUCUAGAACUUGUUUGCUACAACCUUUUUAAGGCUCUAUUCUAGUAUAACCUCCUUGCUUAAGACUCGUUGCAAAAUAAGUUCACUAAAGCUUAUCGAUCUACCACCCCCCUUAUCUAGGUGGCUUGCUAAUGUUACAAAGAUUAUUUGUUGGCUACAUUGAGUUUGCUUUUUUAACAAAAAUUUAUGCUAGACCAAUUUUAGAUCAUCUCCAUUACAAUGCAGACCAACAAAGCUAACUUGGGUAUACUCAAAAGGAAGAUUCAAUCUAACUAGGCUGAUAAUUUAUUUUGUUAGACAAUAUUCAUGUUAAAUAAAACCACCAGAGAUACUUCUUUAUUGCGUGUAGACCCAAUACUAUUAAGCAUUCUAGUAACCAUUCAGUCAAUAUUUCAAGGCCCAACUACAUCCAUCCAACACAUGCAUCAAUACAAUAGAAGCUCACAUCUUUUCAUCUUCCAUAUUCUAUCCAUGCAACAAUCCUAAAAGACAAUAAAAAGCUAUUAUACUUUUAACACCACACUAAAUCAAUAUUAGAACACCACAACUCGCAUGCCUACUCCCAUUCCAUCACAUCUCAUCCCUUUGAUUCUUUUAUUCUCACCUCAUCCCAAAUUAUCACCUUUUUUUAUUGCACAUGUAUUUCUUACGCUCCCAUGAAUAUCAUCUGCCUUGGCCAUCCUAAGGUUUUAAAUUAAGAUGGUGGUGGAUAUAUUUCUUUUACAAAUCUUACCAAGAAAAGAUUUAUCAAAGAAUUAAAAACAAAAAUGUAUAGUUGUUAAAAAAGUCCAUGAGAUUUUGCAUGAAUAGCACUUCAGCCCCUACUGUUUAAAAAAUAUGCAUAC